CCAAUAGAUGAUCUGUGGAUGGCAAAUCAUUGCUUCUCGGGUAUACAAACGCGUAAACUACAUCCAUAAAUCAAUAGAAAGACGUAGUAUAGAUAGUAGAUAGUAGAUAGAUAGUAGAUAGUCCAAACGUAACCCAAACGUAACCAUCUCCGUCGUGUUUUCAUUGGUUUGUAAUGGGAUUGUAAUAGCUCAAAAAGCAAGGAUGUCUCUGUUCUUUUAUUAUAUGGACGCACUCCGUUUAUUUUUUACGGCUGUUUACACCGUUGGACACCGUUGAACACCGUUGGACACCGUUAGAUACCGUUGGAUAUCGCAUGAACAUCGUGGGAUGCGUGCGUUUUAGCUCUAGAUUGAUAAACGCGAAUUGCAGGGGGCGUAACAAUCACUCUAUCUCAGAAAGUGAGACAAGAAAUUCCACAUAAUGUUAGAUAUGCCCUAUGCUUAGUCAAUGAUAAAAGUAAAAUUAAUGUUGCUAUUGUUAUCGUUAUCAUUAAUAAAAAGUAGUGUCAUAGAAAGUUUAUAUGCAAUAUUUCUAUAUCUGGUUUGUAGUAUUAUAUAUCACUUUCUUAAACAAUAUCAGAGACUUUGGAAAUUUGCUUCCUGGUAAGAUGAUACUAAAACGAUACAGAAAACAGGAAAAGUUUAUUCGAAAGUACUAGAAUAGUUUAUUGGACGGAGUCGUUGAUUUGAACUCUACGUAGUUCAUGACCGACAUCUUGCCCGUCUCGGUGAUUCGGCCGUCCAACGUGCGUAUGUUUGAUAGUUACAGAGUUUUACAUGGUGGGAGUUGUGUAAGGUAUUUUUCUAUCUGGAAGUUUAACGCAAAGGUAUCUUGAUCGCAGAUUAAGUAUAAAUUGCCGACGAGCAUAGAUGGUGCAGCUGGAGAAGUGGUCUGUGGUGAAUAAGGAGGAGCAGCAGGAGGAUUAACCAGAAGAAGGAGAAGAACGUUUAAUCGCUGAUAAGGAGAGAAUGUAUUAUUGUUGGUUGCGUGUAAGCGCGGAAGAAAAAGUGUGAAAUAAAGGAAUGAUAGGGAGAAGUAGCGCGUGAAUGUAUAAAUAAGAUGUAUAAAUAAAAGUGUUUUGCGUGAAGCAGGUAGUGAUAAAAGUAUAAAAGUAUAAGGUGAAAAGGUGUGCAAUAAAGAUGUGUAUAGAUGUAAAUAAAAUAAGGGCGUACCUAAUCUGGAUGUAUGGAGAAGGAAAUAUAAUAGCGAGGUUGAUUUAUGGUGGGAGUUUGUGAAAACAUGGGUUAAUUUUGUGAAAAUUGUACAAUAUGUAAAAAGAUUGUAGGUUAGACGCGUAGAAGUUGACAUAAGUAAGAAAGGAAUGAAAAGAGAGUAUACAAUGAUAAAUAGGUAAUAUGUAAGGCAAUAUAAUUUUGUGGAUGACAGAAUGGAUUUGUUUGGAUUUUAGGAGAUUAAAGAAUAAAUGAAGAUACAUUUAGAAGUCGCCGUUUAUUUGACUAUUGACCAUAAAUUGUGAAAUUAGGGUUGAAAUAUAAAUCAUAUGUAGAAUAGUUUUGAAAGGUUAAGGAUAUUGUUGGGUUAAGAAACGUAUGGAAGAAGAAAUUGUGAAAUGUAUGGGUAAUGGAAUAGAAUACUAUUAUGAAAGGUAGUAACUAUAAUCUGGUAAUAUAUUAGUAAGGAAUAUCAUGGUUGGAAUUUUGUAAUUAAACAGAUACUAUAUGGAAAGUGAUUAACGUUAAUUUAAUUUUAUUUAAAGGAAUGAAAGGUACUAGUAAUAAAAUAGAAUGUUAUUAUCAAAGGUAGUAAUUAUAUAGAAUUAUAGGAAAUAUAGUGGUAAUUACAGUAGAUUAUAAGUGUAGAUGAGAUUUAUGGCACAAUACUGAGACAGACAUGGAAGGAAAAUGAAUCCAUUGGAAUAAGAUUGAGUGGAAGGAAAUGCAGAAAGGAAAUUGUGGAGAAGCUUAAUUUUAUUUGAGAAAGGCAAAAUGAAGAAAGCAAUGUGAAAAAUAAGAAAGAAAAAUGAAAGAGGACAUGGCAAUUUAAUAAGUGGUAAAUGGAUGGUGAAUGGAAAAAAGGAUAUAGAAUAAUAGGAGGAUCUCUAAAAUAUUUUUUUUGAUGAAGGACUCUUUUGACGACUCGUAACCUUUUGUUAACGUGUUUGAUUCUUGAGAUUGCGGAGCCCUGCUGUUGUUUGCAGGGAGGCCGCUCGUUUUUUCAUCCCGGGAUCUUCUCCCUGGAGUGGCGUGUUCAAACCAACUCAAGAUAGUGAAAGGUAACUGAUUUUGUUCCCGUAAACAAUUUUUAUUGUACAUUUGUUAGAUGAAUAAAGAAGAGAGUACCGCCGCCAUUUGACAUGCUUAGCCUUAUAGGGAUGCGUGAAUUAUUAAAUUAAUGCAUGAAUAAAGGAGAGAAAUGUGGAAGCGCUGUGAUAUAUAAAUUAGUAAAAUAUAAAUAAAAUGAUGAAAAUGACUAAAUAGAUGCAAAUAAAUGCAGGUAAUAUGGAAGCGGUGGUAAGUAAAAAUAAUAAAAAAAAUUAAAACAACAAUAAUAAUAAUAAUAAUAAAUGUGAAGAAGAUGGAGAGGAGGAUGGAAUAUGUGUGAGUAAAAUGAAAGUAAUAUAGAAGUACUGAAUGGAGCAAAAAUAAUAAAAAAUAAAGGAAGUGGAGAGAAUGAUGAAAGAUGUAUGUGUGAUAAUUAUAUGAAAUGUGGAGGGCUGUGUAUGUGUAUAUAAGGUAAAAAUAACAUGGAUGUACUUGUUAUAUGUAUAUAUAAUAAUUAUAAAUAAAGUGUAGAUAGCGGCGAUGUAAUAAAUAUGUAAUAAAUAUGAAAUACAUAUAUUUAAAACAGAAA